GCCCCUGUAGCCCAAUCGGAAGAGGUGCCGCACUUAGAAUGCGGAGGUUACUGGUUCAAGCCCAGUCAGGGGUA
rfam:Microcoleus sp. PCC 7113, complete genome.